ensembl:lncRNA
AGAGGGAGCUUAAAAACAAAAGUGAAGUAGGACUGACUGUACGUGGGCUCAUGUAUGCAUGAAUUAUGAAGGGCAUGCUGAAGUUUACAGGACCAGUGUGACGAAUGGUGCAAGUCGACACCUUUCCACUUUGAACCUGAAAAUGAUGAAAACCCUUGUGUGCAAGGAACGCAUGGUACAAAUUCCGCUGAGCAAAAGAAUAAGAGUUGCUGAACAGCAGCCAAGAGACUAACCCAGCAACAGCUGACAUGGAUACACGUCUUGUCUCCACAUUUGAAGGUGAAGAGAAACCCAAGUUGCCAGAGCUCAGAGGUAGGACAGCUGUAAAGCCUCCUGCUUCAGUUAAUGAAGUGUGUGGUGCUCCCAGCUUUGAGAAGAACAUCCAUCCAGAAUUUGAGCCCUGCAGUGCUCCAGGAUUUGAGGACUGCAUUCCACCACAUUUUGAUUAUCCCACACCCCUAGAGUUUGACUGUGCUCCUGCAGAGUUUGAUGACUGCAGUCUCCUAGGGUCUGACAACUUGAACAAUGAAGGCUAUGCUAUUACACCACGUCUGCAAGAUGCAAAGUCUCCUGCAAAUGCAGUGCAGGAGUUCAUUCCAUUCAGUAUGUUUCGUUCAGAAGGGGAUACACAGAGGACAAGUUUGGACAUUCAGACUAUUAGAUUUGCCAGAAAACGUGUUGGCAGGAUUGGGAUGAGAUUUGGAUUCUUUCCUUCUCUCUCAUCUGGCUUUGAGCUAACCUUGUAAUUCUGCUGUUGCUCAGAGAAACCUGAUUUUUUGCUUGCUUUGAAGAAUUGGCUGAAAGUCUGAAGAGAAAUCUCUCUGGAGAUUAGUUUGUUUUCCAGGGACAAUUCCUUUCUCUACCCUUUGUGUUUCUGAAGGUCUUCCAGGUGGACCCAUUUGGAAUCCCUUGGAAAACAGACAUAAUUAACCAUGAGAAGAGUUCGGUCACUGCAUCUUUACUUACGAUAAAAGGUGUCACUUUUGUACCUAUCUUGUGUGGUCCACACACUUGUGUGAAUGGAUGAGGAAGAGGGUGAACACCUUGACAGACUGAUGGACAUGAGCAGUUUGCCUAAGCCUUCAGAUAAUACAUACCAUCAAGAAAGCUGCAGUUUAGGCAUGAUUUUGAUGCUGGCCAUUGAGGUAGAGUCAGUUCAAACCAUAGAAGGGAAGUGUACUCUACCGAAGAUGAUGCAGCAGUUUUUGACGAGGAACUGCAAUCAGGAUAACUGCCUGUCUUUAAAACCCUUACCCCUCCAACUGUGCUCAGAAAGGAGAGGUUAGAUAUUUUUUGGAGGGGAUCACCUGCUAGCUCACAUUCAGGCUUAUCACAGCAAAUACUUGGUUUGAAGGCAAAACUCUUCAGUCCGCAGUGUGAGUUUAUGAGUAUUCAUGGUGUAAAAUUGAACUCCUAAUGGGUACUUGUUGGGAAAGAUGAAGAAGCUGCUUCAGCUGUUUACUAGCCAGAAUCCACUGAAUAGAGCCUUAGACUCACUGAGAAGCAUCAUGAUUUGGUGACAGUGAAUGACAUUUCUGGAGAUGCCCAGUCUGACAUCUUCUUUGGAAAAAUUAUGAUCUGAUGAUGACAAAGUGUCUGAAACCAGAGCAAGAAAGCUAAAAUGCUACUAAAAUUUUGAGUCAGAGGAUGGAUGGAUGAAGAUCUUAUUCCAAAUGGGCAGUGCGCUUGGAGCUUCCUCCUGCCUGCAGGGGGAAAGCUCAGUCACACUGGCAAAGUCCUGACUGCUUUUUCAGCAAGGCUUCAGUUUGCAGUGUGGCCAACAGGGGCUGUGCCAUCUGCGACAUGAGCUGGAUGGCUUUGUGCUGCAAAGAAACGUGCAGGUAUCUGCUGUUAAGCUACAGCAGUACAAGUACAGCAGAUGUGAGCAUGCAGCUCUGGUGAGGGAAGGAGCAACUGUGGCUGUGGACCUGAGAGCUGAAAUUUCCCAGCUUCCAUGUGUCACUACCAUUCCUUCUGAAACACUGGUUUUAUGUGCUCUUCUUAAAUGGUUUUCUAUGCAGAUGUAGUUCUACACAAGAUAACUAGAGCAAUGUCCUUGAAGAUACCCCAUUUUGUCUAGUUGAGGUACUUGCUAUAGCUUCCAGAUGUGUUGCUUAUCACUGAUAAAUGUCCUUUCUAACCACCAGGCUUCUAUAAUAACAGCAACAUCCUCUAAAUGGGGGCUGAAGUCCCAAACAGUAACCAAUCAUUGGAAACUAAGUGGAGACCAAGUGCCCUUAGAAAACCUGUGUCCUCGCAUGGACAGCGUGAGGAGGACACCUCCCCAGAUGACCACCGACCCCUGCACAAGCACAGAAGAUUCGGAUACGUUUGCAUAACCUUGUAAUUGCAGUAAUCUCAUGAAUAUGUAAUAGAUAGAUGCCUUAUGUAGUGGAUAGGUGUGUACUGAGAACUGCUGGGUUAUAAAUAGUGGAGAGUGCGAUGACUCAGAUCCACUUGAUUUGUGGAGAUUACUCACCUUGAGUGCUGUGCAGAAAUAAAGCAAUGUUUCCUCU